CAAGUCGAACGCGAAAGCUCCCUUCGGGGAGCAAGUAGAGUGGCGCACGGGUGAGUAACACGUAGGUAAUCUACCUUUGGAUGGGGAAUAACACCGAGAAAUCGGUGCUAAUACCGCAUAAUGCAGCGGCACCUAAUGGUGACAGUUGUUAAAGCGGGGGAUCGCAAGACCUCGCGUCUAAAGAGGAGCCUGCGGCGGAUUAGCUAGUUGGUAAGGUAACGGCUUACCAAGGCGAUGAUCCGUAACCGGCCUGAGAGGGCGGUCGGUCACACUGACACUGACAUACGGGUCAGACUCCUACGGGAGGCAGCAGUCGGGAAUUUUGGGCAAUGGGCGAAAGCCUGACCCAGCAACGCCGCGUGAAGGAUGAAAUCCCUCGGGAUGUAAACUUCGCAAGAACGGGAAGAAUAAGUUGGUGUGAAUAUCACCAGCGAUGACGGUACCGUUUGUAAGCUCCGGCUAACUCCGUGCCAGCAGCCGCGGUAAUACGGGGGGAGCAAGCGUUGUUCGGAUUUACUGGGCGUAAAGGGCGGGUAGGCGGCCACCGCAAGUCAGUUGUGAAAUCUCUGGGCUUAACCCAGAAAGGUCAACUGAUACUGCGGGGCUAGAGUGCAGAAGGGGCAACUGGAAUUCUCGGUGUAGCGGUGAAAUGCGUAGAUAUCGAGAGGAACACCUGCGGCGAAGGCGGGUUGCUGGGCUGACACUGACGCUGAACUGCGAAAGCUAGGGGAGCGAACGGGAUUAGAUACCCCGGUAGUCCUAGCCUUAAACGAUGAAUGCUUGGUGUCUGGGGUUUUAUAGUCCCCGGGUUGCCGUCGCUAACGCUUUAAGCAUUCCGCCUGGGGAGUACGGUCGCAAGACUGAAACUCAAAGGAUUGACGGGGACCGCACAAC
rnacentral:rRNA from 1 species